GGUCUCACUGUGUAGCCCAGGCUGGCCUCAAAUUCACAGAGAUCCUCCUGCCUCAGCCUCCUGAGUGCUGGGAU
rnacentral:miRNA from 1 species